rnacentral:rRNA from 1 species
GAUGAACGCUGACAGAAUGCUUAACACAUGCAAGUCGAUGGGGAAGUGGUGCUUGCACCAUGGUAACCAUGGCGGACGGGUGAGUAACGCGUAAGGAACUUACCUGCGGGACCGGGAUAACAGCAGGAAACUGCUGACAAGACCGGAUAAGGUCAUUAAGCUGCAUAGCUUAGUGAUGAAAGAAGACGCCUGCGGAGAGCCUUGCGUCCUAUUAGCUAGUUGGAGGGGUAACGGCCCACCAAGGCGAAGAUAGGUAGCCGGCCUGAGAGGGUGGACGGCCACAAGGGGACUGAGAUACGGCCCUUACUCCUACGGGAGGCAGCAGUGGGGAAUAUUGGACAAUGGGGGCAACCCUGAUCCAGCAAUUCUGUGUGCACGAAGACGGUUUUCGGAUUGUAAAGUGCUUUCAGCAGGGAAGAAGGAAGUGACGGUACCUGCAGAAGAAGCGACGGCUAAAUACGUG